rnacentral:rRNA from 1 species
GUGCCAGCAGCCGCGGUAACACCCGCAGCUCGAGUGGUGGUCACUUUUAUUGAGCCUAAAGCGUUCGUAGCCGGUCCUGUAAAUCUUCAGGAAAAUUCUUCCGCUCAACGGAAGAUCCUCUGAAGAGACUGCAGGACUAGGGACCGGGUGGGGUUGGAUGUACUUCUGGGGUAGGGGUAAAAUCCUGUAAUCCUGGAAGGACAACCGGUGGCGAAAGCGUCCAACUAGAACGGAUCCGACGGUGAGGAACGAGGGCUAGGGGAGCAAACCGGAUUAGAUACCCGGGUAGUCCUAGCUGUAAACACUGCCCACUUGGUGUUGCCCCUUCGUUGAGAGGGGGCAGUGCCGGAGCGAAGGUGUUAAGUGGGCCGCUUGGGGAGUAUGGUCGCAAGGCUGAAACUUAAAGGAAUUGGCGGGGGAGCACCGCAACGGGAGGAGCGUGCGGUUUAAUUGGAUUCAACGCCGGAAAACUCACCGGGAGCGACCUUUGGAUGAGAGCCAGCCUGACGAGCUUGCUCGAUAGAAGGAGAGGUGGUGCAUGGCCGUCGUCAGCUCGUACCGUAGGGCGUUCACUUAAGUGUGAUAACGAGCGAGACCCCCAUCUUUAAUUGCCAGUCUGACUUUGCGGUCAGAGGCACUUUAGAGGGACCGCCAGCGCUAAGCUGGAGGAAGGAGGGGUCGACGGCAGGUCAGUACGCCCCGAAUCUCCCGGGCUACACGCGCGCUACAAAGAGCAGGACAAUGAGUUGCAACCUCGAAAGGGGGAGCUAACCUCGAAACCUGCCCGUAGUUAGGAUUGAGGGCUGUAACUCGCCCUCAUGAAUGUGGAUUCCGUAGUAAUCGCGGGUCAACAGCCCGCGGUGAAUAUGCCCCUGCUCCUUGCACACACCGCCCGUCAAACCAUCCGAGCUGGUGUUGGAUGAGGGUAUGCCCGAGAGGACAAAUUCAAAUCUGAUGUCAGUGAGGAGGGUUAAGUCGUAACAAGGUAACC